UUCUUUCUUUUUAUCGAACCGCCUCUUCUCUUCUUUUUUCUUCAUUUUUUCUCCCGAUAGAAAUCACUUCUGCAACAAAGAAACAUAACGUGAAAGCUCGAGCGUGUAAUGGAAUUGUUAACGUGAAAGUUAUUCCCUAAAUUACGCUGGGAAGGAUUUGAGAUGGGUUUAACUUUAACUUGAAUAUGAUAUUGAAGAAUAUCUCAAUAUUGAUAGUUAUGGUUUGAUUUUGUUAAGAAGAUGAGGUAACAGAAGUGGUUUCUUAUCACACUUCAGAUGUGUGGGAAAAUUGGGCGUUAUAGUUUUAUUUUCUUGAGGAGUGCAUGCUUGUCAACUGUAGAAACCUUACGGUGUUUUUGAAUUAUAAUUCCUCCUCCACCAAUGACAACUAAAACCAAAACUAUUUUGAUUUAUUACAACGGAAAAUGGGUGAAGAAAGGUGAAAACGAUUACUACGAUGGGACGUUACAACCAGCGUUUGCACCGGAUGAAUACACUGUUGAAGAUGUGAAGAACCAAGCACUUGGGGCUAUUGGUUUCUCGCACGGACCUGCUUUUGACCUCUACGGCCUGGUACUGGUUGACGCCACAGGAUUAAAAAUGUGGUUUAUCAUUACCAGAGAACAAAGCUCUGAAAUAUUAUGUUUCCGAGGUACAUGGAACGUUUAGUUUUUUCAUAGUACCAUCUGCACAACAAUUGAAAGUAGUUUGUCCCCCAAUAACUCCUAUUAGAAUGGCCGUUUUGCCCAAGGUCGUGACCCCGUUAACUCCUCACUACAAUGGCAAAGUCAGUUCCUUCGAAGGUGAUGAUCCCAAGAAUCAACACGGCAACGGAGAUUGCACUGGUGGCAUAGCCCCUCCAAGGCCUGGAAAAGUCAGGAGACGUCUAAUAGCUGGUGAUAACCUUGCAGCUUCCAAGAAAUAUCUCCAGCUUCAUGAUGUUGAGAACCUUACAGCUGCGAAGAAAUAUCCCCAGCUUCAUGAUGCCGACUCAACUCCACAUCCUGAACCCGCUAGUUCACCUCCCCCAGCCUCAAAUAAAGUCAAGUACGGCGAUCUCGGCCCUGGAACCCAUUUCAAAAGCAAACAACAGUUGCAUAUUAGCUUGAAAUUUGCUUCAAUAAAAGGAUCAUUCAAGUACAUAGCCAAACCAUCCAACGAUAAACAUCUUCUUGCCAGCUGCAAGGAUCCGACAUGCGGUUGGUAUGUGCGGGCAUCGGCGCUGAAGUCUCUUACCUGGUGGGUAAUCAAACGCACAGAACCUAAACACACUUGUGAUAAGAGCAAGAACAAGACGGACCCCUAAGUAUUUUAUAAAAGGGAUGGGUCGUGCCAUGGAAAAACUGUUCAAGUCAGAGUUUGGAAAGUGUGAUACUCUGUAUACACCUAAUGAUUUGAGAGCAUACAUGCUUCACGAACAUGGUAUAACAAUCAGUUACAAGCAGGGCCACACUGGUUGUAAACGUGGAACCGAAGCGACCAGAGGUACGACAGAUGAAUCAUAUCAGCACCUUGUUAGUUACAGUUAUGUGCUUGAGCAUAAUAACCCGGGGACUGUUACAUGUAUUGAAACGAAUUCUAUGAAUGAGUUUGUGUAUUAUUUCAUGGCACUAGGAGUAUGUCUUGAUGGAUUCAAGAAUUUCUCGAGAACAGCCAUUUCUGUUGAUGGCACGCACCUUAUUGGGGAACGCGCUGGAGUCCUACUGUCAGCCAUAGGGUUGGAUUCUAAUGAAGAAAUAUAUCCAGUAGCGUUUGGCAUCGUCGAUUCAGAGAACGAUGAUUCGUGGGAUUGGUUCAUUAAAAAAUUGUUCGAUGCGCUUGGGAGUGAAUAUUUGAAGAAGAAUCCUGAACUUGUAGUGGUUUCAGAUAGAUCGGAUCACAUUCAUAGAGCCACGACGAACCGGAAAUCUCCUUAAGAAAUUUCAUGACGGCGACUCGGCGAAUUCAUUUAUCGUAGCUGCCAAAGCAUACACUCCCUGUCAUUACAACAAUGCUAUGAAAGAUUUUUUAAAACAAAGCUCCGCAGCAGUAAAGUAUGUACGGGAUAUUGGGGAGCAUAGGUGGUCCAGGGUGGAGGCUGUAAGAGCACCUUUUACUCUGAUGACUACUCUCAUAAGCGAGAGUUGGAAUGCAAAAAUUAAAAAUGCAAAAAGUCUGCCCAUCUGUCAUUUAGUUGAUUUUAUUUGGGAGAAUGUCAAAAUAUCAAACAUGAAAGGAAUCAUACAUGAGUAGUACCGGCAUGUCAAAAUAUCAAACAUACUACAUCGACAUCUUACCAA